rnacentral:lncRNA from 1 species
AGCCAAUGUCUUCUUACAGGUCAAACCUGUGUUUACACUGGAAAGGUGUGAAAUAGAGGUAGAACGUAGCUGGCAAGUCAAUAUACUGUGUCUCAGGGAAAGUUUUUACAUUUAAUUACAAAUAUGACAUAAAAUUUGGAUUUUUGAUGGGAAAUCAUCUGCAACUUCAGCAGUGUUUGAAGAAAUGUUAUGACUGAUCAUAAAUGAGAAGGACAUUCAUUGUGAAGGAUACCUUUCCAGUCAUCCUCCACUCUACUGGUUUUCUACAGAUCUCUGCUUCCAAAAGUGCUGAAACAGAGCUCAUGAUUCCUCCACUGUUCAGGAUACCUAGAGACAAAUGAUAUGGAAAAAGGCCUCCAUGACAGGUCCCUACUGGCACUGACUGUACAAGCAGGAGGACACCUAGGCAGAAGACGUCUCCUUCUUCCUCCCUCCCUCCCAGGAGUUGCUCUCCAGUCACCUCUGCAAGCCUGUGUAUUACCUAUGUUUCUGAAAGGAAGAGUUGACAGAGUAUUUAAUUUUGAAUUUUGAAAAAAACAAAUUGUUUCACUUAAAAUCUGAUUGCCCUGC